UAUAUAAAUUAAUUAUUUUUGCAACGAGUUCAAAGUAAGGUUGAUAAUCAGUCGACUCUAUUUCAAGAUCUGAGAAUGAUUUGCCUAUUUUUGGGCGGAGAACAUAGCAUAUGCAUGCUUGUAUCACUGCCACCAUAGAUUAUCAUUAGAUACCACAACAGAUCAUUCUCAGAUCUUGAAAUAGAGUCGAUGCAGAAUUAACGCAUUGUUUCAUAGAUAGUGAAUCGAUCAGAAUAGACAGAAUAGAUCAUUGUCAUAGAAAAAAACGUUGAUGUACUUUUUGUAUUCGAAUUGACAUAAUUUGAACAUAGACUCUGCAUUUAUGCCAUAUAAUAUGUCUGAUUGGACGUGCUGAAUCAUCCGGCAAAAACCAUCAAUAUUUCUAAAGUAACAUUAAUUAGAAUCAAGGUCUACUGUGCAUUUAAUCCGUCAUGUGUUUGUUUCAGAUGAAUGAAUACCUGCACCAUGGAAACAAUCAUGUCAUUUGCAAACUUUUUUGAACCUGUGUUGGGCGUUCACAUUGACAUUUCUUGUUCAACAGGAACUACAUGAUGUCGACCAACAGUACAACUAGAUGAAGAUAUAAAUUUAUUCAAAAAAAUAAUGGGACAAUGAAUGCUAAAAUUGCCAAGAAGAAGACUGCCAAUUUACACACCAUUUUAUACAGUUACAGUAUGAUAUGGUGAACAAAAAGCCCUCAAUGCAGACAGUUCUGGAGCUUUGGUUAGACUAUGAACAGUAGACAUCAAAAGAUGAUCAUCUGAAGGGCCACAAUUGUUUAAAGCACUGGUCAACAAAAAC
rnacentral:lncRNA from 1 species